GACGAACGCUGGCGGCGUGCUUAACACAUGCAAGUCGAACGGAAAGGCCCUGCUUUUGUGGGGUGCUCGAGUGGCGAACGGGUGAGUAACACGUGAGUAACCUGCCCUUGACUUUGGGAUAACUUCAGGAAACUGGGGCUAAUACCGGAUAGGAGCUCCUGCUGCAUGGUGGGGGUUGGAAAGUUUCGGCGGUUGGGGAUGGACUCGCGGCUUAUCAGCUUGUUGGUGGGGUAGUGGCUUACCAAGGCUUUGACGGGUAGCCGGCCUGAGAGGGUGACCGGCCACAUUGGGAAUGAGAUACGGCCCAGACUCCUACGGGAGGCAACAGUGGGGAAUAUUGCACAAUGGGCGGAAGCCUGAUGCAGCAACGCCGCGUGCGGGAUGACGGCCUUCGGGUGGAAACCGCUUUCGCCUGUGACGAAGCGUGAGUGACGGUAAUGGGUAAAGAAGCACCGGCUAACUACGUG
rnacentral:rRNA from 1 species